rnacentral:misc_RNA from 1 species
GAUGAAGAACACAGCAAAAUGCGAUAAGUAAUGUGAAUUGCAGAAUUCAGUGAAUCAUCGAAUCUUUGAACGCACAUUGCGCCCGCCAGUAUUCUGGCGGGCAUGCCUGUUCGAGCGUCAUUUCAACCCUCAAGCACAGCUUGGUGUUGGGACUCGCGUUAAUACGCGUUCCCCAAAUUGAUUGGCGGUCACGUCGAGCUUCCAUAGCGUAGUAGUAAAACCCUCGUUACUGGUAAUCGUCGCGGCCACGCCGUUAAACCCCAACUUCUGAAUGUUGACCUCGGAUCAGGUAGGAAUACCCGCUGAACUUAAGCAUAUCAAUAAGCGGAGGA